rnacentral:piRNA from 1 species
UGGAAUCUCCUUGGUAGCUUUCAGUCUGG